GCGGGUGUAGUUUAGUGGUAAAA
rnacentral:ncRNA from 4 species